rnacentral:rRNA from 1 species
AUUGAACGCUGGCGGCAGGCUUAACACAUGCAAGUCGAGCGGGAAUAGGUAGCUUGCUACCGAUUUCUAGCGGCGGACGGGUGAGUAAUGCUUAGGAAUCUGCCUAUUAGUGGGGGACAACAUUUCGAAAGGGAUGCUAAUACCGCAUACGUCCUACGGGAGAAAGCGGGGGAUCUUCGGACCUUGCGCUAAUAGAUGAGCCUAAGUCGGAUUAGCUAGUUGGUGGGGUAAAGGCCUACCAAGGCGACGAUCUGUAGCGGGUCUGAGAGGAUGAUCCGCCACACUGGGACUGAGACACGGCCCAGACUCCUACGGGAGGCAGCAGUGGGGAAUAUUGGACAAUGGGGGGAACCCUGAUCCGGCCAUGCCGCGUGUGUGAAGAAGGCCUUUUGGUUGUAAAGCACUUUAAGCGAGGAGGAGGCUACUUUGGUUAAUACCUAGAGAUAGUGGACGUUACUCGCAGAAUAAGCACCGGCUAACUCUGUGCCAGCCGCCGCCGUAAUAC